rnacentral:rRNA from 1 species
UACGUAGGGUGCGAGCGUUGUCCGGAAUUAUUGGGCGUAAAGGGCUCGUAGGCGGUUUGUCGCGUCGGGAGUGAAACACCGGGCUUAACUCGGUGCUUGCUUUCGAUACGGGCAGACUAGAGGUAUGCAGGGGAGAACGGAAUUCCUGGUGUAGCGGUGAAAUGCGCAGAUAUCAGGAGGAACACCGGUGGCGAAGGCGGUUCUCUGGGCAUUACCUGACGCUGAGGAGCGAAAGUGUGGGAGCGAACAGG